CAGAAAUAUAUGGUGAAUAUUUGCUCUUCAAAGAUUAGUCAUAGUUAGAGGUUGCCUAGAUCAGAAGUCAGCGCAGCUCUUGUCGUCAGAAAAACACAUACACACGCAUAAUUGUUGCAUACAAAACCAAAGCAUUUCAGGCAGGUAAAAGGUAAGCCUUUUAGGUCUAGGCUUUCCAAAAAGAAAUGCGGCCAUCUUCCUAGGGAACCCAUCAAGGUAUUUAGCAAUUUAUACUGUUGGGAAAGUCUUUCUUUAAAAUAAACAGAAUGUCUAUGCUUCAAGUGUAUUUCCUCAUGUUCUAGUCUUAGCAGAGUUCAAGUACAGUUGGUUGCCACCCUCUGAAUAAUACUUCUUCAAAUAUUGGAGGAUUUACAGCAGCUUCCUCUCACUCUUCUCUUCUCCAGGACAAAUCAUCUCAGUGCCUUUAACCUCUGCAGAGCAUGCUGGAAUGCUCUGAUUCUAUUAAAGUGCUUGGCACCCCACGGACCUUAAUAAAAUACUCUGGAUAUACUGGCUAACGGGUUGACUUUUGCCAUAGAUCUUAUUUCCCAAACUUCUAAACAUGCCUGUAGCUUUCCUGUCCAAGUUCAAAUAUAGUAUAACACAUCACAAGUGCUGAGAAGCAGGAAGUCCAUCGCUGAAUCUGGCACUACAGUCCUGAGUGGAAAAUACCAUUUGUUUCCUUGACAAUCUCUCCUUGGUAACUGGACAAAGUGGGGAGCCAAGGGUUAAUGAUACGGUGGAAGAGCCUUGACACCCUACCAGUUCUCAGAGGACAGGGAAGGGUGGCAGUGACUGGAAACUGCUUAAAUUCCUAGCGCUGUUCAACAGGAAGUUGGAGAAAAGGUCUAAAGGUCUAAUGGCCUCAUAAUUAAGGGCUUCUUCUACUCCACAAGUUUAUAAUCAGGAGUUGUCCUGCAGGAAGAAAAGCAAAGGACACAACAAAUGAGAAAGUCACUUUUGCGUUGAGAAUUGGCUAGCCUAGAGGAUGGAAGGCAGAAGACCUUUCCAACACGUUAAGAGCCAAAAGACUACCUUUUAGUGUUUGUUUUGAUUAUAUUUGCCUGUAACCCAGCAACUGGGCCCAGAUGCCAGGAGCCCAAAGAGAACACUGCUGAUGACUGGUGUAUGGAAAGAAAAAGAAUUCCUUUUGUUUUCUUACUUUUAUGGUUCUUCUCAAGAUAUACAGAAAAAGGAGAAUACAAAGCAGGUCCUUCUUGAUCAUCUUUGUAACCAGGAUAGGCCAGUUGGAUGUGGUGGAAAUUGCAUGAAGAGGAAUUGAGUAGGUCUGGAUCGUCAAUAACUUGAACACGGCUGAUCCAGAAGCUAGACCAAGGAACACUGGUGGUCUCUAUACAAUUCACAGAAAACUGAAGUGGAAUAAAAUGUCCCCCCUUUGCUGUCGCUUAGUUAUUUCUAUUUAUUAUAACAUUUCCUGCACUGAAUAGAUUUUUCUGAGCAUACACAACUGUUUCUUCAAUUUGAGAUACCAAUAAACAGC
rnacentral:lncRNA from 1 species